ACUCUAAAGCUCCUCACCUUCCCCAGGGCUGUCUGAACCUUCUGAUCCAGUUCACAUCCCAACCUGGCGAAAGCCGCUGCCCAGCUGUUACCCUGGCUUUAGAUCCUUAACUUGUGUUAGCCAGUAGGCCUUGACAGACAUUUUAGACCGAGUGGAAAGGCACUAGGAAGAGCUGUGGAAAUCUCCGGUCACAUCCCGGCACCCAGCUCCCCACAGCACCCCCCACUGACUUCUAUUUCUCCACUUUUAACCUCUUUAUAAAGUAAAUCAUUUAUCUGGUAAAAAAAAAAACUCAGAACUGACAUUUAUAUUUACUGGGGGUGUCUAAUGGUUAGGGCUAUGAUAUAUCCAAAGAAGAGUCUGUAGUUUCUUUGUCACUUAAUGUUGGAGGCAUUUUUGAAAAUGUAUUUUACUGAAAAAUGUCAACAAAGCCUAGACUUCACUCCCGAUCCCAGGAUUCUCAUUGACCACCAGGAAAGGUAAACAGGCAAACGCCAUUCCAACAUUCCUGUGGGGUUGUGCUACGGAAUGCCAGGGAGGUAGAGCGUAAGCUGGACUGUCCACACCUUCCGACCUAAUAAAUCACUGACCUCUAGAUAGCACAGCGUGAAGACUUUAUUAGGUGCCAUCUGUAAUCACCCAAUUAAACACAAAUACAGGAUGCAUAUUAAAGCCACAGUCCCUGACAUGAAAAUAGCUGCAGUGUUCACAUCUGGUUUGGCUGAGCCACGACUGUGGUCUUUAAUCUCACCACUACAGUGACUUGUGGGAAGGUGAGCAUGUCAGCUGCUGCAGAGGUAACGCAAUGUGUUCUCAGGCUAAGGACAGCUACAUGCCAGUGGAAAAGACCAGAGAGCUCCCCUUGUGAAAUGAAACCAUGGGGUCUAUCUGUCUAGUCACUCAAGAUGGCCAAACAUUCAGACUCGGGAAAGCAAAUCCCACCUUCACGCUAGACUUGG